AUGUAAACUCCUUGAAGGCAGGGGAUAUUGUAAUUUUGUCUCUGUUCCCAUUGCUUGUCAUGGUACUUGUCACAUAAUAGGCGUUUUAUGAGUAUUUCUUGAUUAAUUGAUUGAUUCUCUAGUAAGAUCUUUAUAGAUUGGACACAUAAGGAAAAAAGAACCUAGGAAAAAUACUUCAUGUGAGCUUUCAAAAUGGAAUGUGGGGGCCCAAGGGAAAGAGUAAUUCUAGGCCUAAGGAAUGUUAUAAACAAGAGCAUGUGAGAAAGUAAAGCAAAUGAAUUAGCAGUGGUGAGUAAUUGGAUUUGGCUGGAGCACAGAGUAUGUGGAGGGGGAGUAAGUAAUAUGACAUAAGGCUGGAAAGAUCCAGUGGUGUCAGAUUGUUGAAGGCCUUGAAUGUUUGCCUAAGGACUUUAUUCAGCAGGCAUUGUAAAUAAUGAUUAUUUACUUAAACCUCUGGAAAAAACAAUGGGAAUAGUUUUAACAAACUAAGAUCUAUGCUUGGUAGUUUAUAGAUAUAACAUCUCAUGUUACAUGCUUUGUCCUCUCCUGAGUCGGCUCCUGAUCAACUGAAGGAAAAGCGCUUAUGAAAUUUAGUUCUUAAAAACAGAAAUCUAAUACUUUAAAUUUUUCCAUAUUAUAGAGGUGGCCAAUGAGCACAGUCCUUAUGAGCACGUGCCGACAUUUUGUAACUGGUUGCAAUUUGUAAUCGUGUGGUUAAGUGAAGCCUUUUGGAUUGGCUUCGAUUCAGAACUAGGUUGCAUUCAAAAGUCAUUAGCCAGCAAGGGGAAAUCUAACUCUGGCCGUUUCCAGUCUGGCUGACGUGAAAGAAGGAUAAACUGCUGUGGGUCUUCAAGUAGGAGAUGGGCCUUGGACUCUCUCAGAUCACUAUGAACCUGAGAGUUCACAGCCCUGAUGUUGCUUCUAUUUUUAUUGAGUUUAUUCUUUCCUACUUUUAGAUGAAGGAGAUUGAAGAUGUCAUAACCUUAUAAGAUUUUAAAGAUCAGAAUGAUAAGCCACCAGAUGUCUACGAACUGGAGCCCAUGAUGGGAAUUUUCAAGAGUCAUAUGGGAAUUUCAAGUCACCAGAGGAUCAAACUCAACCCAGCAGUGACAGAGAUGUAGAUUCAGCCUUCCAUUGGCUACAAUUGGCAAUGGACUUGGUCAGAUUUGGAAAACUGAAGCCCAAAGAAAUAAGAUGAAGUGGUUGAAUUAGUUGAUUGUGAAACUUCCCUUCAGCUUUCAUCUAUUAUUAAAACUUAGCUUCUUUCAUGGAAAUUUCUUGUGGAGAAGUGUUCUAAACCUUGAUGAAGAUAUAUACCACAAGGAUCACUCAAGAGAAGGACAAAAGGGAUGAUAUCCUAGAAUAUGCUGCCAUUCCCAGACCACAUAUAUCCAUGGUAAGCUGCUUGAAGAAAGGGUCUCUUUGGGCCUUUUUGUCUCCAAUGUCUUCUACAGAAUAGUGAAGUAAUUUGUUUAAGGGCAUAGAGGUUUUAAGUAGAAGACCUAGAAUUCAAAGAGGGAUCCUUCACUAAUAUAUUGUCCUAUUUUAGAAUUAAUUACAAAUAAAUUCAUUUAUUACUUUC